GACAGAGAAAGAGAGACAGAGAGAAAGGUCUUCCAUCUACUGGCUCACUCCCCAAAAGGCCACAACAGGGUCAGAGCUGGGCCGAUCUGAAGCCAGGAGCUUCUUCUGGGUCACUCACACUGGUGCAGGGGCCCAAAUACUUGGGUCAUCUACUGCUUUUUCAGGCCAUAAGCAGAGAGCUGAAUCAGAGAGGAGCAGCUGGGACAUGAACCAGUGCCCAUAUGGGAUGCCAGUGCCACAGGUGGCAGCUUAGCCUACUGUGCUACAGCGCCAACCCCACCCCCGACUUCCACUUCUGAUCUAGCUUCCUGCUGAUGCAUCUCCGAAGCAGCACAUGACAAACCAGGCUCUCUGGUCCCCACCACCCAUGUGGGAGACUGGGAUGGAGUCCCUGGCUCCUGGCUUCUGCCUGGCCCGGCCCCUGCUGAUGUAAGCCUUUGGGGAGUGAGCCAGCUCUCUCUGCCUCUCCGUGUCACUGUGCCUUUCAAAUGAACUAACUUUUUAAAAAACAUGUCUUUUUCUUAGAUGAAUGCAUCCUCGUAAGUCCCCACAAUUAUAUUUCUAGAAUAUACAUUUAGCAAGUCACUUCCAUCUCCUAAAAAAAUUUUGCUAGCUCCCCACUGUGGGCACCAAGUUCAUACCCAGUGUCAUUUGCAUGGCACUUACUGUGGCUUGCUGCCUUCCCACACCUCCAGCUCCUUGCUCUGCUCCUGACCACCCAUGUGUGACUACACACAGGUCUCAAGGCUUCAUGCCAGGCUCCUAUUCCCCCUGCCUACAAUGCCCUUUUCCCUAUGCCCUUUUGGGGCCUUACCAUGAGUCCUACACACACCCACACGCGGGUCAAUCAUCCUUGGUCCUUGGUACAAGCAAAGGGCUUUGGCAUAGCAGUUAAGCUGCCACCCGGGAUGCCCACAACUCCUGUCAGAGUGCUCAAUUUGAGUCCUGGCUCUGCUUCCAGUUCCAGCUUCCUGCUAAUGUGCAUUCCUGGAGGCAGCAGACGAUGGCUGAAGUACUUUGCUCCCCUGUCACCAAUAUGGGAGACCAUGUUUGAGUCCCUGGCUCCUGGCUUUCGCCUGGCCCAGCCCCAACUAUUGUAGGCAUUUCUUUUUUUUUUUUUUUUUUAAGAUCUUACUUAUUUAUUUAUUUGGGAGGUAGAGUUAGAGAGAGAGAGAGAGGCAGAGAAAGAGGUCUUCCAUCCCCUGGUUCUCUCCCUAAAUGGCUGCAUCAGCUGGAGCUGGCUGAUCCGAAGCCAGGAGUCAGGAACUACUUCUGGGUGUCCCACGUGGGUGCAGGGGCCCAAGGACUUGGGCCAUCUUGUACUGCCUUCCCAGGCCAUAGCAGAGAACUGGAUUGGAAGAGGAGCAGCCAGGACUAGAGCUGGUGCCCAUAUGAGAUGCUGGCGCCACAGGCAGAAGCUUAACCUACUACACCACAGCGCCAGCCACUGUAAGCAUUUCAGGAGUGAAUCCACAGAUAACACAAUCCCUGUCUCUCUCAGCCUUUCAAAUACCAAUGUAAAAAAGAAAUACCCCUCCCCCCAAGAAAAAGGCAGAUAAUAUUUUUGGUAAUUUUUGUGCCUCUUGUAAAGAUGUGAAAAGUGGGAUUAAAGGUAAGUUCAGUUUUGGUGCAAAAAUAUUUUGAGAUUUGUAUACGUGAGUCUUCUCUUGGAAAUGUUGAUACUGAAUUCUGACAGUCACAGGCGGACUAGGGGUUGAUCACCCUGAGAUGGAAACAGUAGAAGCGGAGCAGGGCUAUUGAAUGUUAGGGAAGGUCCCAGAGUCAGGCUGGGUUUCCUGACUUCCUGCCCAGCAUGACGACAGGAGAGGAGCCUCCGGGCUGUCACCUGGCUCUGAAAGCCAAUAUGCUUGCCCAAGCCAGGAUCCCAGAGCCAUAUGGUUUUAGUUGGGGAGUCUUGGCAGGAACCUUACAAUCUCUGCCAUCAUACAGAGAGCAGGUGGGAGCAGAGGCCAGCAGCAACGGGGACAACGUUUGUCUGCUCUCACCUGAGCAGAAGGGGCUACUGUUGAUUGAGCCCAAAUGUCCCUGCCUGGUCACUUAGAUCAUCUGCAUCUCAUCUCCUCCUGACCACCACACUGAUGGGAAACUUAAGGAACACUGCACUGCCAGCGCCGUGGCUCACUAGGCUAAUCCUCCGCCUUGCGGCGCCGGCACACCGGGUUCUAGUCCCGGUCGGGGUGCCGGAUUCUGUCCUGGUUGCCCCUCUUCAGGCCAGCUCUCUGCUAUGGCCCGGGAGUGCAGUGGAGGAUGGCCCAAGUGCUUGGGCCCUGCACCCACAUGGGAGACCAGGAGAAGCACCUGGCUCCUGGCUUUGGAUCAGCACAGCGCGCCAGCUGCAGCAGCCAUUGGAGGGUGAACCAACGGCAAAAAGAAAGACAUUUCUCUCUGUCUCUCUCUCAUUGUCCACUCUGCCUGUCAAAAAAAAAAAAAAAAAAAAAAGGUACACUGCACAAAGAUAAAUGUCGUCCAGCCAGCUAGCAGGUGACAGAGCUAGGGUUUUAAACCAGGUCUGUUGUCCAGGGAUCACAGGCACAAAGUAUAUGCUCCCUGGGGCUGUGAAUAUCAAGCCAGAUAGAGGAACCCCAUCCUCCCCUUGUCCUCACAAAACAGCCGAGGCCAGCCUGGAGGAGUGAAAAUCCGGGUCACAGCCUCAGGGCUGUUCACAGGAAGAGGCGAAGUUCAAGCAUGAGUGAGGAACAGCCUUGGCCUGGGAGGAAAUCAAGUGCCCCCCCCCCCCAUCUGUGGGCAGCAAGUGUAGGAGAGCCAAUGCCUCGUCUUAGCAGGGCAAGGGGAACUGCCCACCAGGUCCUCCCGACAGCAUCCAGCACUUCUGAGACAGAGGAGGAAGUGCUUCUCUCAGCUGGGCACAGGAUCCACAGCCAGCCCUGGGGCAGAGAAAGGAGAACCGGGAUUUCAAAGUAAAGCCGAACACGCAGGUGCCCUGGCUCCUGUGGAUGGCCAGAGAGAGGCUUCACACCAGCUCCCAACCCAGGCUCCACAGAGGAUGCAGUUGAUUGGCUGAGGCUGCAAGGAAGCUGGGAAGGAAAAAAGCUAUCAGAGGCUGGUGGUGUGGCGCCCUGGGCUAAGCCAUCUGUGACACCAGCAUCCCAAGUUGGAGCACCGUUUGAGUCCUUGCUGCUCUGCCUCCCAUGCAGCUCCCUGCCAACGCGCCUGGGAAAGCAGAGGAAGAUGGCCCAAGUGCUUGGGCCCCUGCCAUCCACAUGGGAGACGUGGGUGCAGUUCUUAGCUCCUGGUUUCUGGUGGCCAUUUGGGGAGUGAAUCAGUGGAUGCAAGAUCCCUUUGUCUGUCUCUCCAUUUCUUUCUGUCACUCUGACUUUCAAAUAAAUAAAAUAAAUCUUUAAAAAAAACUAUUAAAUAUUUGCUCCAAAUUAAUAUCUGAGAUUUUUGGUCAAAGUGAGAUCUCUUUCUAAAAUGUAUCCGAACCGGCCAGCGCCGCGGCUCACUAGGCUAAUCCUCCGCCUUGUGGCGCCAGCACACCAGGUUCUAGUCCUGGUUGGGGUGCCAGAUUCUGUCCCGGUUGCCCCUCUUCCAGGCCAGCUCUCUGCUGUGGCCAGGGAGUGCAGUGGAGGAUGGCCCAGUACUUGGGCCCUGCACC